GAUGAACGCUGGCGGCGUGCCUAAUACAUGCAAGUCGAGCGAACAGACGAGGAGCUUGCUCUCCGGACUUUAGCGGCGGACGGGUGAUAAACACGGGGAUAACUUACCUUAAAGACUGGGAUAAUUCCGGGAAACCGGAGCUAAUACCGGAUAAUUUAUUGAACCCAUUGGUUCAUUAGUAAAAUACGGUUUUGUUUUCAUUUUUAGUUGAUUCCGCGCCGAAUUAGUUAGUUGGUAAGGUAACGGCUUACCAAGGCAACGAUGCGUAGCCGACCUGAGAGGGUGAUCGGCCACACUGGAACUGAGACACGGUCCAGACUCCUACGGGAGGCAGCAGUAGGGAAUCUUCCGCAAUGGGCGAAAGCCUGACGGAGCAACGCCGCGUGAGUGAUGAAGGUCUUCGGAUCGUAAAACUCUGUUAUUAGGGAAGAACAAAUGUGUAAGUAACUAUGCACGUCUUGACGGUACCUAAUCAGAAAGCCACGGCUAACUACGUG
rnacentral:rRNA from 1 species